rnacentral:rRNA from 1 species
CACGUAGGGCGCAAGCGUUGUCCGGAAUUAUUGGGCGUAAAGAGCUCGUAGGUGGUUUGUUACGUCUGCUGUGAAAACCUAGGGCUUAACCCUGGGCUUGCAGUGGAUACGGGCAGACUAGAGGUAGGUAGGGGAGAAUGGAAUUCCUGUGUAGCGGUGAGAUGCGCAGAUAUCAGGAGGAACACCGGUGGCGAAGGCGGUUCUCUGGGCCUUACCUGACACUGAGGAGCGAAAGCGUGGGGAGCGAACAGG